rnacentral:tRNA from 1 species
AGAGACGUAUGAACAACUAGAGCUGCUAACUCAA